rnacentral:rRNA from 1 species
UACGAAGGGGACUAGCGUUGUUCGGAAUUACUGGGCGUAAAGCGCACGUAGGCGGAUUCGUAAGUCAGGGGUGAAAUCCCGGGGCUCAACCUCGGAACUGCCUUUGAUACUGCGGGUCUAGAGUCCGAUAGAGGUGGGUGGAAUUCCUAGUGUAGAGGUGAAAUUCGUAGAUAUUAGGAAGAACACCGGUGGCGAAGGCGGCCCACUGGAUCGGUACUGACGCUGAGGUGCGAAAGCGUGGGGAGCAAACAGG